GGUUAUUGAUCAAUGCAUUCCUGAAGGGUUCUCAAAGGAUGGGAAAACUAAAUGGAUCACGCGUUGCCGUUCGAAAUGAGAUAAAAACUUAUGAGUGGACCCCAUUCUUCAUGGAAAGCUGGGUCAGGACUGGAUCCAGUUUGCAAUUGCCCCAAAAGUCAGACAUCCUAUCAUUCAAAACCUGUCUUUGAUUUUUCUACUCGGAAUUUCGAUUUCUUCGAGACCUUUUCUGGCCAACCGGCAGGCAACGGCAUCUAUCAGAAGACCGGAAAGUUACGUACCGUCAUUCCAAUCUCGUGAAUUGGUUUCGUUGAUUUGACAUCACGCUGGCGGGACUUCCAUCGGGAAUACGCCGCCUUUACCUCUGUUUGAACACACCCCCACCGCAACAAAGAUAUGGAGCAUUCAAGAUAAACCUGUUUAACUGGCCUUAAAGGUGACAACCAUAAUGAUGUCUAGUAUUCAGAUGCAACCUUACAUGUAAUUUGAAGGACGAGUGAAAGGAAAUCAGAAGAAUGCAAACAAAUUUGACGGUGUCAUAUAGCAGAACUGGAGAAAAAAUAAUGGUGAGGAAAAAACAAUACUUAUGUACAUAGUUGUCUGUUCCACGAGUUGAUCAUCGCACCAAACAACAUUUCGAAACCUGAACGAGAAAAAGGACAAAAUAUAUGCGACCGGUCCCGUACCCAUUCAUAACCAGGUAUUAACCUACAUACAUUCGACCCCCAAAACAGAAAAACAAGUGAAAAAAGGAAAAAAGCAGGUUUUUUCAAGAGUGUCUCGUUACGCAGACACCAUCCACGGCAUAAUACCAUUCCAUACGUGUUUUUAUUCAGGUUUGUUAUGGAAUCUAGUAAUUAUUUAUGUGUAACCAUCGAAUUCUUUGUGUAGUCGCAAAUACGGGGAACACAACAAGCGCUUGUUGCGUUCCCAUAGUUACACGCCUUUCUAAGGUUGCCUAAGAAUUUCUAAUAUCCCGCAAAAGUGGUAUAGCCAAUGUCACACGCAAUAUCACAACGUGUGUUUCAAGACGUCUCAGCGCUAAUUUGCCACAUAACGGCGAACAAAUGCGUGGAUCACAAAUGUGAUAUCUGUAAAUACUCGACAUGGCUCUGCCGUUGCGGUUUUUUGUUUUGGGAAUUUUAAAAUUAUCGCUAAGAUUGAAGAAAACUGCAGGAGACGGUAAAAAGCUAUCUAGAAGAUCAAACGACUUACAUUCGUCGUUAAAAUACCGCAUCAUCCAUAACGAAUCAGUGGCUAAUCUAUUUGGUGCGAAUAGCUUUCCUUCAAACUACAACAACCGGAUAAGCACCACAAGCCUACACAGCUGGAAAUUCGUCCACCAGAUAUCAUUACCACUCAAUCACGACAUGAUCGAUUUACAGGAUGAAAAUUAAAUAAGAAAA